GGGAAUCUUCGGAUUCUAGUGGCGGACGGGUGAGUAACGCGUAAGAAUCUAACUUCAGGACGGGGACAACAGUUGGAAACGACUGCUAAUACCCGAUAUGCCGCAAGGUGAAACCUAAUUGGCCUGGAGAAGAGCUUGCGUCUGAUUAGCUAGUUGGUGGGGUAAGAGCCUACCAAGGCGACGAUCAGUAGCUGGUCUGAGAGGAUGAGCAGCCACACUGGGACUGAGACACGGCCCAGACUCCUACGGGAGGCAGCAGUGGGGAAUUUUCCGCAAUGGGCGAAAGCCUGACGGAGCAACGCCGCGUGAGGGAGGAAGGUCUUUGGAUUGUAAACCUCUUUUCUCAAGGAAGAAGUUCUGACGGUACUUGAGGAAUCAGCCUCGGCUAACUCCGUGCCAGCAGCCGCGGUAAUACGGGGGAGGCAAGCGUUAUCCGGAAUUAUUGGGCGUAAAGCGUCCGCAGGUGGUCAGCCAAGUCUGCCGUCAAAUCAGGUUGCUUAACGACCUAAAGGCGGUGGAAACUGGCAGACUAGAGAGCAGUAGGGGUAGCAGGAAUUCCCAGUGUAGCGGUGAAAUGCGUAGAGAUUGGGAAGAACAUCGGUGGCGAAAGCGUGCUACUGGGCUGUAUCUGACACUCAGGGACGAAAGCUAGGGGAGCGAAAGGGAUUAGAUACCCCUGUAGUCCUAGCCGUAAACGAUGGAUACUAGGCGUGGCUUGUAUCGACCCGAGCCGUGCCGAAGCUAACGCGUUAAGUAUCCCGCCUGGGGAGUACGCACGCAAGUGUGAAACUCAAAGGAAUUGACGGGGGCCCGCACAAGCGGUGGAGUAUGUGGUUUAAUUCGAUGCAACGCGAAGAACCUUACCAAGACUUGACAUGUCGCGAACCCUGGNGAAAGCUGGGGGUGCCUUCGGGAGCGCGAACACAGGUGGUG
rnacentral:rRNA from 1 species